GCGGGUGUAGCGCAGUGGUAGCGCAUCUGCUUCCCAAGCAGGUUGUCGUGGGUUCGAAUCCCAUCGCCCGCUCCA
rnacentral:tRNA from 1 species